rnacentral:lncRNA from 1 species
AGAAGCGCUAUCCGAGAACCCUAUGAUGCUCGAAAAUAGCUGCAAGAGAAGUACAGCAACUUCAGCAAUUACCAACAAUACAUGUUUUCUAUAAAGCAAGCUAUGAACCAUCUUGUUUAAUUCUCUUAGAGGUUCAUAAGGUAAGCCUCAGAAUUAAGCCGACUUUUUCCCCAUAGGAAAAUCCACAGAUUUUUCUAAGUUUUAAGCCUGUUCUUUAAGCUUAUGCAGGUGGUAAGAGAGACCUGAAAUUCUCCCAAAGAUUAUCAACAUGAAUCUGUCAGUUAUUGUGCUAGUACUUGCUACAUAUUGGUAAUGGUUGUGCAUUCUUGCCGUUCUUUGGGUGACCAAUGUCCUCAGUCUGGCCAAUUAGUUACGUGUGACUUAAAAGCAAGUUAUUAAAUUAUUCCCCUUUGCUAGGUUCCCUCACCUCUCCCCUCCCCACUCCAUCGCCCUCCCCCUCCAUUACCAUAUCUCUCUUAGAUUAGAAGCAAAGGCCCUGGUGGAAUUCAUUAGCAUGGAACAAGGAAGCCAUGCUGAUGGAGCUCUGUUGCAUGCUCUACAUUCUUUAGCCCUGCAGUCAGGAUAACACUGGUUAGAGAGCCCCACCAAUACCUGAGAGGACUAACGAGUCGCUUUGUCAUAGAUAACUGUAUUGUGUGUCUGAAUGUACAAGUCUGUGUUGUUUUUUUCCUAUUAUUAUGUGAUAUUUCAUGUUGACUUGUCAAACUGAAAAAUGCCCAUAUUGAUUUUGCAGAAAGCCUCACGUGUGAAAUAAAUGCACUCAAAGACGCUUCACAAGUAGCACUUUGGAGCUUCAGAUGUGAAAUGGAUCAUUCCUCAAUCUGUAAUAAACCCUUCUGUGAAGCUCUUCAAUCAAACCUGAGAAGUCAAGAGCCUUGUAAACUGCAAUUUGUACGCUGGUAAGAAAAACCUGGCAGAGGAGUUAGGAUGCCAUUACCAUUUGAAAAGAGGCAAUCAUAAGGCGCUUCUGAGCCCUUUGUCCACUGAAAAUGCUGAUUUGCAGGCGGUGAGUGAAAAAGUGGAACUGCCACUGAAUAAAACCUUGAGCUAGG